rnacentral:rRNA from 1 species
AUUGAACGCUGGCGGCAGGCCUAACACAUGCCAGUCGAGCGAGCGGCGGAUGGGUGUGAAAUGUAUGGGGACUGCCCGAUAGAGGGGGAUAACUACAGGAAAAGGUAGCUAUUACCACAUACUAUCGGAUAACCCAUAUGGGGUUAGCUCGUAGGUGAGGUAAUGGCUCACCGAGGCGACGCGCCCUAGCUGUGCUGAGAGGAUGAUCAGCCACACUGGGACUGAGACCCGGCCCAGACUCCUACGGAGGCAGCAGUGGGGAAUAUUGCACAAUGGGCGCAAGCCUGAUGCAGCCAUGCCGCGUGUAUGAAGAAGGCCCUAGGGUUGUAAAGUACUUUCAGUCGGGAGGCGUUACCGACAGAAGAAGCACCGGCUAACUCCGUGCCAGCAGCCGCGGUAAUAC